rnacentral:rRNA from 1 species
GAGUUUGAUCAUGGCUCAGAACGAACGCUGGCGGCAGGCCUAAUACAGCAAGUCGAACGCACCUUCGGGUGAGUGGCAGACGGGUGAGUAACGCGUGGGAACCUUCCCGAUAGUACGGAAUAACUCCGGGAAACCGGUGCUAAUACCGUAUACGCCCUUCGGGGGAAAGAUUUAUCGCUAUCGGAUGGGCCCGCGUUGGAUUAGCUAGUUGGUGGGGUAAAAGCUCACCAAGGCGACGAUCCAUAGCUGGUCUGAGAGGAUGAUCAGCCACACUGGGACUGAGACACGGCCCAGACUCCUACGGGAGGCAGCAGUAGGGAAUCUUGGACAAUGGGCGAAAGCCUGAUCCAGCCAUGCCGCGUGAGUGAAGAAGGCCUUAGGGUUGUAAAACUCUUUUAGCGGGGAAGAUAAUGACGGUACCCGCAGAAUAAGCCCCGGCUAACUUCGUGCCAGCAGCCGCGGUAAUAC